GAGGGUGAAUUUAAGGAGGCAGAGUAUCCCAAGAAGAUUAAGGUGCUGUAUGGUUUUGGGAUCUUGCCUUGCAAAUGAGUUCCAUUUGACCAGAGGCAACAUAUUAUUUCUUUCACGAUAUUAUUAUUAUUUUUUAUUGUCUCCCUUUCUCUGGACCCCCUCCCCCACCCAUCUCAUGUGGCAUAGUCCUUCACAGUCCUCUAAGAUGAGGUAGGUUAAAUGCAUGCCUGGUUAAAAACUUUAAGAGUUCCCUGGUGGCUCAGCAGGUUAAGGAUCCGUUGUCACUGCUGUGGUUUGGCUUCACUCCCUGGCUUGGGAACUUCUGCAUCCCUCGGGCACAGCCUAAAACAAAAACAAUAACACCCCCCCCCCUCCAAAAAAACCACUUGGAUCUACUCCUUGAUGUCAAAUAAAUGAACAGUUUAGGGACUAAGAAACUCAGUACUAGUUUACAUAUUAAGUGGGUAGGUCUUAGCAGCACUAUUCAUAGUAACCCUAAACUGGGAACUAUCCAAAUGCCCUUACACAGGAGAAUAGAUCAAUUGCAGUAUAUGUGCCUAAUGGAAUUGUACGUAUCACUAAGAAUGAAUGAUCUACCACUUCUUGCUACCACAUGGAUGAAUAUCACAUGUAUAAUGUUGAACCAAAGGAGUUCCCCCAAGAGAGAAUGUACCCCAUGUGAGCCUCUUUAUAAACACGAGCACAAAAACAUGCAAAACCCAAUUUUUUUAGAAGCAAAAGCUUAUCUUUUUUGUUAGUAGUGGCCAAAAGGGAGCACAAGAGGGCCUUCCUAGGUGUAUGUAAUAUUUUUCUUUUGUGGGGUUUUUGGGGGGCUGCACCUGCCGCACAUGGAGGUUCCCAGGCUAGAGGUAGACCUGGGGCUGCAGCUGCCGGCCUGCACCACAGCCACAGAAGCACUGGAUCUGAGCCAUAUCUGUGACCUAUUCCACAGCUCGCAGCAACCCCAGAUCCUUAACCCACUGAACAAGGCCAGGGAUCACAUCUGCCUCCUCAUGGAUACCAGUCGGGUUCAAAACCUGCCAAGCCACAACGGAACACCAGUAAUAUCUUACUUUUGGAUUUGCUCUUUUCCUGUAUCUCUAUUUCAAUUUUAAAAAUCCAAAAAUGUUUCAAUAGAUUUUCAAAAUAACUUUCACAAAGAGAUUUAGCAAAUAAUCACCUCUAUAUAUCUGGGACCCCAGAUGGACUGGUUUUAGUACAAACACAGUUCAACAAAGAAAAAGAGCCUAAUGAGCAAAAGGAAAUGCAUUUUGGUCUCGCCUCUCCUUUCCCUUCUCAUACUGCUCUGUUCUGGAGCCUCCUAUUUGCUCAAGUGUAAUCUCUUUUUUCCUUCCAGCUCAUCUUGAGUUCCAGGCCUCAUGGUGAUUCCCUGGACUCUGGUGCUUUUCCAGUCUUGUCUAUUCCAAUUCAUUCUUCUUCCUCCUAUUCGAUAUUCUUAAACCUGACACUAUGCUUCUUCUGUAUUAAAAUGGGGUACAAUAAGCUCUACUAAGACAUAAUAAGAAGCCUUUGGAAGAGAGCCUUCUGAAGGUCAAGGGGAAAAGUUGAGCAGUAAUGACUUUCUAAAGGUCUCAUCUUAUCAAGGGAGGCAACAACAGGGGAUUACAAGCCCUUACUGCGUAGAAGUAGCUCGCUUCUUGUUCGCUAUAAAUCAGAGGGGAAAAAUGAGUUUGCUUCUGACCUUUGGGUGAAGGAAGAUAACCAUCAGUGAAGGAGGAUAACCACUAGCAGAGUGAGCAUUUGCAAACUAACAAGGGGAAGGAAAAGCAGAGGCUUAGUGUGAGGAAGCCAGUACAAAGAAAAAGAUGAAACACAACGUUACAUCCGCAAGAUGAGAUGACAUAGAUUAAGUAAAUUCUUGCCUGGGCAAGAGCAGUCAUCUUCUAAUUGCUCUCUCUGCCAUGGUCUGCUUUUCGCAUACUCCCCCUUCACAGCAGAGCAAUGGUGAUCUCUUCAAAACAGAAGUCUGAUCACCACACCCUUUCUCCGGGUGCCCCAGCCCUGUCCCCUGAGUCAUCCACUGGAGAAGCCUAAGCUUAUCUCACUGAAGUCUACCUACCUUGCAGGCUUACCUGUAGCUACUCCUUCUCUAGCUUGAAACCUCUUGCUUUUCUGCCCAGUGUAUCCUUUCUUCUGGGAAUUGCUAACCCCCCGCCACCCCACAUGACUGCUUUACAAGCUUGGUGUUCCCGCCUUCAACCGCUGGCCACAGUUGCUUGAUUCUGGGAAGGGCACUGCUCCUGAGAUGGGACCGUUUCAGUUCCUUCUCUGAGCCAUCCUUCCCCUGCUGUGGUCCAGAAGUGAACACCCGGCCGAAGUGAGUAAAUGACAAUUCUUCUCUAGGGCAUUUUGGAACUGGAGCAGAGAAGGAGAGGUAGAGCUUUUUCAGGAGUUCAAGGGGUCGUAUUUAAAUUUUAAGCACCAUGUCAGUGGUGUUUUCUGACACCUGGAAGAGAGUCAUAGAGGUACCAUUAGGAAAAUGAGAGAGUAGGAGGGAGAGAGAGAAACAUGAGAGGGACAGAGCGAUAUCAGGAGAAAGCAGAGCUGAAGCCCAGAGGUGCUGACAGCAUUCAAUUCUUGGUUAUAUCCAUAUGCCCAUUUCUAAAGGUCUGCAGCCUCCUUGCAAUCUACAAGGAUAUAUAAUGGACUAUUACUCAGCCAUAAAAAAGAAUGAAAUAAUGCCACUGGAAGCAACAUGGAUGGACCUAGAGAUUAUCACACUCAGUGAAGUCAGCGAAAGACAAAUAGCAUGUGAUCUCACCUAUAUGUGGAAUUUGAAAAAUGCUGCAAAUGAACUUAUUUACAAAAGAGAAACAGACUCCCUGACGUAGAAAACAAUCUUGUGGUCACCAAAGGGGAAAGGGAGGAGGGGCAAACUGAGAAUUUUGGAUGAACAGAUACACACGACUAUAUAUAAGGUAGAUAAACAAUAAGGACCCACUGUAUAGCAUGGGGAACUAUACUCAAUAUCUUAUAA
rnacentral:lncRNA from 1 species